AUAUUUAUUUAUUAUUAUUAAAAAAAAGCAAAAGCCAGAAAAUAAAAAGAGAAGCAAAAGCAAAACAUUAAGGUGGCAAUUGCUGCAUUAGCACACCCCCUUUAACCCAAUACAAUUUCUUUCAAAACAUGGCCUUGAUAUUAAGUUAAUGUUAACAAUAUCUUAAUACACUAUAAUCUCAUACUCUAAACACACCCUAGGUUGUCUAUCUUUACAAAUAUUUAAGGGUGGUCCGCUCCAUUUGCAUUUCACAAUAAAGAGACUAUAACUGACUGCACUCAAUCAUAUUUAAUUGAGGGACAGUGAGUCUCUAAGGACACCAACUGCUACUCUCACGUGUGUGGGAGCAGGCGGUCCACUACUCGGUCAAAGGCCAAGUAGCAAGUACUAUGAGUGUUAAAAACAUUCAUAUUUAGUUGAUAAAUUUUACUGUUAAGUUGAUCUAAGAAUAUGAUACUAAAUUGAAAAUAAUGUUGAAUAAAAUUUAUUUACAUAUUUAUAAACAUGUGUAUAAAAUAUUUUUUUAUUAUGUAUAUAUAAUAAUGAGUAAUGAUACAGCCACAAACUCUUGUACAAAUUUAUUUUGUACAAACUGAUGUGGCAUAAUAAGAUUGGUUGAAUUAAAUAUCACUUGGCCCACAUGAUUUGUUUUUAUUAAUUUAUAUUUUCAUUCAACCAAUGAAUUAAUGCCACGUCAGUUUGUACAAAAUAAGUUUGUACAAGAGUUUGUGGCUGUAUCAUUACUCUAUAAUAAUUGAUGACUAAAAUAAGUAUUUUACACUAUUAAUUUUAUUUUGAUUUUGUUAUCUCAAUAUAAUUGAUAAUAAUAAUAAUAUCUUUAAAGUUAAUGAUUUUGUUUUUAAUUAAUAAGGAUAAUUUUAGAUUUUUAAAUAUAUAUGAGGAUAUAUUAAGUAUAAAAUUAAUUCUUAAAAUCAAAAUUUGAAAACUACUCAUUCCUCACUUUUCAAAAUCUGUUGUAGAAUUGAAUGAUUUUGUGAAAAACAAUUUUUAAAGAACUUACCAAACACUAAAAUUAAGUUUUAAUCUUUCAAAAUCACUUUUAAACCUCGUAAAAUAAUCCCAAACAUUGUAAAGGAAAACGAUACCCAUAUAGUUAUCAAAUCUCAAUAGAAUAUGGAUUAUGUAAUUCUCUUUGUUGCGUUUGAACAAUGAACAAUAAAUCGGAUUUAAUUUAUGAGCAACAAUCUAUUAGAACGUCCUUUGUCACGUCGUAGAGGCCUACUUGUUGGGAAAAUAUGCUCUUUAAAAGCAUAUGUGUUUAUUUAAUUGUAAUAAACAAUUUUUUCUGAUUAAUAAAA
rnacentral:lncRNA from 1 species